rnacentral:misc_RNA from 1 species
GUAUAGUUUUCUUUCGUUACGUUUUCAAGGCAACGAAAUGGGUUUACAUUCUAUUAGACAUUCAGAUUAUAUGAUAAGACAUAGGCCCGAAGGCCUACGGUGGGUUCACAUGUGGUGUUUGGGAUUCAAGGGCUCGGGCGUGCACAUGCCCCGAAAGGCCAGCAGCAACCCUCACCGAUAAUUUCAAUAAUGAUCCUUCCGCAGGUUCACCUACGGAAA